GAAAAUAUCAAAAUGAUUCUUCAUUCAACUUUAAUUCAUGAAGCCAGAUUAUUUUUUUAACACAUGAAAACAGUUUGACAAAAUUUUGACUAAUAAUGGCUUGCAUAUUUAGAUUAAAUGAUUCUGACUUGAUAAAUGUGGAUCUCAUUAUGAUAAACAAUGUAUGCAGAGAUGGUCUUUUUAAAGUAUGUCUAAACAGAAGUCAGAUCAGUUGUUAAAAGGUAGCCAUACCUCAUUUUGAAAAUGUCUUCCCUUGAUACUAUGUCUUCAAUAAAAUAAUCAAAACUGCAUAAUUUGUAAUCAGAAAUUAUUUUAUGUUUGAAAAAUGUAUUUCCUUUUUAUUUGUUUCUUUGUAUCUCAGAAAUAACCAAAAGUCUGUUUGUAUAUCAUAAGUGACCAUGCAAGCACUUACCAGCCAGUCAAUGUCCUUAUAAACCACCAAGUAAUCUCACAAAAGAACACAAAACUGAUAAAAGUAAGCUUCCACUCAUUCUACAGAAUUUUUAAUGCUUGACAUUGCACAUAUUGUUUCAAAAUGAUUUAAUUUUCUUUGAUCAAUUUUCAUUAAAAUUUAGAAUUGAUAAAAAUUCAUUUUUGAGAUAGCUUAUAGGAAUAUCAGGCGCUCACAUAAUGCUGUUUAAUUUGCUUGUAUUCUUUUGUUUUUUUGUGGUGGAGGAUAUCAUAUAUCUUGUACUUGCAAUAUACUCAAACAGGAAGAUGUAAAAAAAAAAUAUAUUUCAAGCUUUAAAUUUGAUCUCUGAUACUAAAAUAUGUUUGAAAAUAUGAUUCGAUGAAAUUGAUACUCAAAACUGCCUUUCAGAAGUAUUUUGUCCGUCCUAACCAUUUUAAACAAAAUUAAAGAACAAAUAAAGCAUUUAAAUAAAGUAUAUUUUGUAUAACAUUUUUAGCACAGUAUAAGAAUAGAUAGUAGGAAAGCAAACCUUCCAUUAUUUUUUAAAGGUUUUCAUUUAUUAUAUAAGCAAAGGUAUUUGAAGGGAUAAGUCCUUGAUUUUGUUUAUUAAUUAUUUAAUUUAUUAUUUGAAGUUUUUAUUUGUCUUAGAUAUUCCAUGCUUAAAUUAAAACUUUAAAAGUAAAAGAUCUUUUAAAAAAAUGGUAUGAAGUUAAUGUGAAGGUUGUACCAAAUACCUUGACAAAACUUCUUAAAAUAUUGACUUUGUUGUCUGAUUGGCACUCAUACCACAAUUUCUUAUUUCUAUUUGACCCUUUGACGAAAUAUGAAAAAUCUGAACUUCACACUUUAUUGAAAAAAUUUCAUUGGAUAUAAAGCAGUUUAGGACAAAUGAUCUUUUGAAUGAAUUAAUUGUAUAUAAAAAAAAAAUAUUUAAAAUAAAAAGGGUGAAAUAAUCUGUGAUUAAUUUAAGAUAUUGUAUUAAGUUUAUGUAAACAACGAAAUUUUCCCUUUUGAUCAAUGUCUACCAGUAUGUCUAGUGUAGCAAAGAAAAGUAAAUGAUUGCCAUAUUGUAAUUUAAUUAUGAUUUUUUUCUUAUUUUAAAAUUCUUAACAAGUAUUAUUAUAUAAAUUGGUACAUGUACUUAAUUUAUUAUUAAAAUAAAGAUUAAAAAUGAUUCUGAUUGUAUACAAAUCAUGUUUAAAUGAUUGCACUGUGC
rnacentral:lncRNA from 1 species